UUUAUACUCCCUCUGUCCGAAAAAGCUUGUCCCUCAAAUGGAUCUAUCUAGCACCAAUUUGUGCUAGAUACAUCCAUUUGAGGGACAAGCUUUUUCGGACGGAGGGAGUAUUUC
rnacentral:pre_miRNA from 1 species